rnacentral:rRNA from 1 species
GAUGAACGCUGGCGGCGUGCCUAAUACAUGCAAGUCGAGCGAACAGACGAGGAGCUUGCUCCACUGACGUUAGCGGCGGACGGGUGAGUAACACGUGGAUAACCUACCUAUAAGACUGGGAUAACUUCGGGAAACCGGAGCUAAUACCGGAUAAUAUAUUGAACCGCAUGGUUCAAUAGUGAAAGACGGUUUUGCUGUCACUUAGAGAUGGAUCCGCGCCGCAUUAGCUAGUUGGUAAGGUAACAGCUUAACAAGGCAACGAUGCGUAGCCGACCUGAGAGAGUGAUCGGCCACACUGGAACUGAGACACGGUCCAGACUCCUACGGGAGGCAGCAGUCGGGAAUCUUCCGCAAUGGGCGAAAGCCUGACGGAGCAACGCCGCGUGAGUGAUGAAGGUCUUCGGAUCGUAAAACUCUGUUAUUAGGGAAGAACAAAUGUGUAAGUAACUAUGCACGUCUUGACGGUACCUAAUCAGAAAGCCCCGGCUAACUACGUG